rnacentral:rRNA from 2 species
CGGGGGGGGUGCUAUACAUGCAGUCGAGCGGACAGAUGGGAGCUUGCUCCCUGAUGUUAGCGGCGGACGGGUGAGUAACACGUGGGUAACCUGCCUGUAAGACUGGGAUAACUCCGGGAAACCGGGGCUAAUACCGGAUGGUUGUUUGAACCGCAUGGUUCAGACAUAAAAGGUGGCUUCGGCUACCACUUACAGAUGGACCCGCGGCGCAUUAGCUAGUUGGUGAGGUAACGGCUCACCAAGGCGACGAUGCGUAGCCGACCUGAGAGGGUGAUCGGCCACACUGGGACUGAGACACGGCCCAGACUCCUACGGGAGGCAGCAGUAGGGAAUCUUCCGCAAUGGACGAAAGUCUGACGGAGCAACGCCGCGUGAGUGAUGAAGGUUUUCGGAUCGUAAAGCUCUGUUGUUAGGGAAGAACAAGUGCCGUUCAAAUAGGGCGGCACCUUGACGGUACCUAACCAGAAAGCCACGGCUAACUACGUGCCAGCAGCCGCGGUAAUACGUAGGUGGCAAGCGUUGUCCGGAAUUAUUGGGCGUAAAGGGCUCGCAGGCGGUUUCUUAAGUCUGAUGUGAAAGCCCCCGGCUCAACCGGGGAGGGUCAUUGGAAACUGGGGAACUUGAGUGCAGAAGAGGAGAGUGGAAUUCCACGUGUAGCGGUGAAAUGCGUAGAGAUGUGGAGGAACACCAGUGGCGAAGGCGACUCUCUGGUCUGUAACUGACGCUGAGGAGCGAAAGCGUGGGGAGCGAACAGGAUUAGAUACCCUGGUAGUCCACGCCGUAAACGAUGAGUGCUAAGUGUUAGGGGGUUUCCGCCCCUUAGUGCUGCAGCUAACGCAUUAAGCACUCCGCCUGGGGAGUACGGUCGCAAGACUGAAACUCAAAGGAAUUGACGGGGGCCCGCACAAGCGGUGGAGCAUGUGGUUUAAUUCGAAGCAACGCGAAGAACCUUACCAGGUCUUGACAUCCUCUGACAAUCCUAGAGAUAGGACGUCCCCUUCGGGGGCAGAGUGACAGGUGGUGCAUGGUUGUCGUCAGCUCGUGUCGUGAGAUGUUGGGUUAAGUCCCGCAACGAGCGCAACCCUUGAUCUUAUG